rnacentral:rRNA from 1 species
CCUACGGGUGGCAGCAGUGAGGAAUAUUGGUCAAUGGGCGCGAGUCUGAACCAGCCAUGCCGCGUGCAGGAAGACGGCUCUAUGAGUUGUCAACUGCUUUUGUACGAGGGUAAACGCAGAUACGCGUAUCUGUCUGAAAGUAUCGUACGAAUAAGGAUCGGCUAACUCCGUGCCAGCAGCCGCGGUAAUACGGAGGAGUCAAGCGUUAUCCGGGUUUAUUGGGUUUAAAGGGUGCGUAGGCGGUCGGAUAAGUUAGAGGUGAAAUCCCGAGGCUCAACUUCGGAAUUGACUCUGAUACUGUGCGGCUAGAGAGUAGUUGCGGUAGGCGGAAUGUAUGGUGUAGCGGUGAAAUGCUUAGAGAUCAUACAGAACACCGAUUGCGAAGGCAGCUUACCAAGCUACUUCUGACGUUGAGGCACGAAAGCGUGGGGAGCAAACAGGAGUAGAUACCCCGGUAGUC